CAGGAAGCAUGAGGAGCCCACACUUCUACAAAGAGUCGAGAUGCCUUCACAAAGAUGCCUCAUGCUGCAAGGUGGUUUGUGAGGCUGGAAGAGGAGUUGAAACUUGUUUGUAAUUAUUGUGUGGUGUAUUUGCAUUUCUAAUUGCGCUGAGGGACACUGAAGGCCAAGCUUCCAGUCUCUGGGCUGUCUUUCACCUGCGCCGCGGUGCUGAGUUG
rnacentral:lncRNA from 1 species